rnacentral:rRNA from 1 species
AUUGAACGCUGGCGGCAUGCCUUACACAUGCAAGUCGAACGGUAACGCGGGGCAGCCUGGCGACGAGUGGCGAACGGGUGAGUAAUGUAUCGGAACGUGCCCAGUUGUGGGGGAUAACUGCUCGAAAGAGCAGCUAAUACCGCAUACGACCUGAGGGUGAAAGCGGGGGAUCGCAAGACCUCGCGCAAUUGGAGCGGCCGAUAUCAGAUUAGGUAGUUGGUGAGGUAAAGGCUCACCAAGCCGACGAUCUGUAGCUGGUCUGAGAGGACGACCAGCCACACUGGGACUGAGACACGGCCCAGACUCCUACGGGAGGCAGCAGUGGGGAAUUUUGGACAAUGGACGCAAGUCUGAUCCAGCCAUGCCGCGUGUCUGAAGAAGGCCUUCGGGUUGUAAAGGACUUUUGUCCGGGAGCAAAUGCUGGUGGCUAACAUCCACCGGAGCUGAGAGUACCGGAAGAAUAAGCACCGGCUAACUACGUGCCAGCCGCCGCCGUAACAC